GUAGUUAGCCGGGGCUUCCUCCUUGGCUACCGUCACUUUCUUCGUCACCAAGGACAGAGGUUUACAAUCCGAAGACCUUCUUCCCUCACGCGGCGUUGCUGGGUCAGGCUUGCGCCCAUUGCCCAAUAUUCCCCACUGCUGCCUCCCGUAGGAGUCUGGACCGUGUCUCAGUUCCAGUGUGGCCGAUCAGCCUCUCAGCUCGGCUACCCAUCGUUGGCUAGGUGGGCCGUUACCCCGCCUACUACCUAAUGGGACGCGAACCCCUCCUUCUGCGGAUUGCUCCUUUGACCCCUGAGCCAUGCGACUCUGUGGUCUUAUGCGGUAUUAGCAACCGUUUCCGGUUGUUAUCCCCCUGUAUAAGGCAGGUUGUUCACGCGUUACUCACCCGUUCGCCACUAAGUUAUCAACCGAAAUCAAUAACUCCGUUCGACUUGCAUGUGUUAGGCACGCCGCCAGCGUGUCCUGAGCCAGAGUCAAACUACUGA
rnacentral:rRNA from 1 species